rnacentral:rRNA from 1 species
CGCUGGCGGCAUGCUUUACACAUGCAAGUCGAACGGUAACAGGUUAAGCUGACGAGUGGCGAACGGGUGAGUAAUGCAUCGGAACGUGCCCGAUCGUGGGGGAUAACGCAGCGAAAGCUGCGCUAAUACCGCAUACGAUCUGAGGAUGAAAGCGGGGGACCGUAAGGCCUCGCGCGAUCGGAGCGGCCGAUGUCAGAUUAGGUAGUUGGUGGGGUAAAGGCUCACCAAGCCGACGAUCUGUAGCUGGUCUGAGAGGACGACCAGCCACACUGGGACUGAGACACGGCCCAGACUCCUACGGGAGGCAGCAGUGGGGAAUUUUGGACAAUGGGCGCAAGCCUGAUCCAGCAAUGCCGCGUGCAGGAAGAAGGCCUUCGGGUUGUAAACUGCUUUUGUACGGAGCGAAAAGGCCCUCUCUAAUACAGGGGGUUCAUGACGGUACCGUAAGAAUAAGCACCGGCUAACUACGUG